rnacentral:rRNA from 1 species
GUGAACGCUGGCGGCGUGCCUAAUACAUGCAGUCGAGCGAACAGACGAGGAGCUUGCUCCUCUGACGUUAGCGGCGGACGGGUGAGUAACACGUGGAUAACCUACCUAUAAGACUGGGAUAACUUUGGGAAACCGGAGCUAAUACCGGAUAAUAUAUUGAACCGCAUGGUUCAAUAGUGAAAGACGGUUUUGCUGUCACUUAUAGAUGGAUCCGCGCCGCAUUAGCUAGUUGGUAAGGUAACGGCUUACCAAGGCAACGAUGCGUAGCCGACCUGAGAGGGUGAUCGGCCACACUGGAACUGAGACACGGUCCAGACUCCUACGGGAGGCAGCAGUAGGGAAUCUUCCGCAAUGGGCGAAAGCUUGACGGAGCAACGCCGCGUGAGUGAUGAAGGUCUUCGGAUCGUAAAACUCUGUUAUUAGGGAAGAACAAAUGUGUAAGUAACUAUGCACGUCUUGACGGUACCUAAUCAGAAAGCCACGGCUAACUACGUG